rnacentral:ncRNA from 1 species
CGUUAACGCUUGGAGGGUUGAAUGGGAAUCGCACGGUCCGUGAAUGUUCUCAUGAUAGGUGCCUCGUUCGCAUUCGUUGCGAUGAUGCUCUUCAUCUAGGAGGAGAUGAAAACCUG